rnacentral:rRNA from 1 species
GAUGAACGCUGGCGGCGUGCCUAAUACAUGCAAGUCGAGCGGACGGACGAGAAGCUUGCUUUUCUGAUGUUAGCGGCGGACGGGUGAGUAACACGUGGAUAACCUACCUAUAAGACUGGGAUAACUUCGGGAAUCCGGAGCUAAUACCGGAUAAUAUUUUGAACCGCAUGGUUCAAAAGUGAAAGACGGUCUUGCUGUCACUUAUAGAUGGAUCCGCGCUGCAUUAGCUAGUUGGUAAGGUAACGGCUUACCAAGGCAACGAUGCAUAGCCGACCUGAGAGGGUGAUCGGCCACACUGGAACUGAGACACGGUCCAGACUCCUACGGGAGGCAGCAGUAGGGAAUCUUCCGCAAUGGGCGAAAGCCUGACGGAGCAACGCCGCGUGAGUGAUGAAGGUCUUCGGAUCGUAAAACUCUGUUAUUAGGGAAGAACAUAUGUGUAAGUAACUGUGCACAUCUUGACGGUACCUAAUCAGAAAGCCACGGCUAACUACGUG